rnacentral:rRNA from 1 species
AUUGAACGCUGGCGGCAUGCCUUACACAUGCAAGUCGAACGGUAACAGGUCUUCGGAUGCUGACGAGUGGCGAACGGGUGAGUAAUACAUCGGAACGUGCCCAGACGUGGGGGAUAACGAGGCGAAAGCUUUGCUAAUACCGCAUACGAUCUAAGGAUGAAAGCAGGGGACCGCAAGGCCUUGCGCGUUUGGCGCGGCCGAUGGCAGAUUAGGUAGUUGGUGGGAUAAAAGCUUACCAAGCCGACGAUCUGUAGCUGGUCUGAGAGGACGACCAGCCACACUGGGACAGAGACACGGCCCAGACGCCUGCGGGAGGCAGCAGUGGGGAAUUUUGGACAAUGGGCGCAAGCCUGAUCCAGCAAUGCCGCGUGCAGGACGAAGGCCUUCGGGUUGUAAACUGCUUUUGUACGGAACGAAAAGAUACUGGCUAAUACCUGGUGUUGAUGACGGUACCGUAAGAAUAAGCACCGGCUAACUACGUGCCAGCAGCCGCGGUAAGAC